rnacentral:rRNA from 1 species
AUUGAACGCUGGCGGCAGGCCUAACACAUGCAAGUCGAGCGAGCGGCGGACGGGUGAGUAAUGUAUGGGGAUCUGCCUGAUGGAGGGGGAUAACAACUGGAAACGGUAGCUAAUACCGCAUACCAUCAGAUGAACCCAUAUGGGCUUCGCUUGUAGGUUGGGUAACGGCUCACCUAGGCGACGAUCCCUAGCUGGUCUGAGAGGAUGAUCAGCCACAAGUGGACUGAGACACGGCCCAGACGCCUACGGGAGGCAGCAGGGGGGAAGAUUGGACAAUGGGCGCAAGCCUGAUACAGCCAUGCCGCUUGUAUGAAGAAGGCCUUCGGGUGGUAAAGUACUUUCAGUCGGGAUGCGUUACCGACAGAAGAAGCACCGGCUAACUCCGUGCCAGCAGCCGCGGUAAUUC